rnacentral:rRNA from 1 species
AUGUAUGCGGAUCUCAUGAAUUAUGGGUCUAUUUUUCGAAGAAAACAUAUCUGAAAAACAAAUGUCCCUUCUAGAAUCAAAGUUUUCAGGUGGUUCUUGCAGAGGAAGGUAGGUCUUACCGAAGAUAAUCUUGCAAAACGUAAUUGGCAGGGUAACACUAAAUGUUGUUUUUGUGAUCAAGAAGAAACAAUACACCAUUUAUUUCGAUCAAGUUUGUUCGCUACAUUGAUUUGGCACAUAAUUCAUGUUUCUUUCAAUUUAACACCACCAACGAGUACACCAAAUUUGUUUGGUAAUUGGGAGGUAUCCAUCAUACUUUUAAGGGCAAAAAUCCGUGUGGGGGUUUGUGCUAUCCUUUGGGAAAUUUGGAAUUGUCAGGAGAUGAGUUUGUUUCUAACAGAUCUUCUAUUCCAAAAAAAAAAUUACAGGUUAUCUUUAGAAUUACGGCAUCCCUCCAUACGUGAUCAUCACUAUAACGUGUGGACGCGCAGUGGCGUAUGGCCUUUCGGUGCAGCUGUAUGA